UACGUAGGGGGUAAGCGUUGUCCGGAAUCAUUGGGCGUAAAGAGCGUGUAGGCGGCCCGAUAAGUCCGCUGUGAAAGUCCAGGGCUCAACCCUGGGAUGCCGGUGGAUACUGUCGGGCUCGAGUCCGGAAGAGGAGUGUGGAAUUCCUGGUGUAGCGGUGAAAUGCGCAGAUAUCAGGAGGAACACCAAUGGCGAAGGCAGCACUCUGGGACGUGACUGACGCUGAGACGCGAAAGCGUGGGGAGCAAACAGG
rnacentral:rRNA from 1 species